rnacentral:lncRNA from 10 species
CUGGAAAUAACCAACACAACUAGGUCAAGCAUCCAUCAUGCACCAUGUACACCACAGUGCACCACAGCUGAGACCAGUGUGGAUCCCACCAUCAGCAGCUUUUCCAAAGGACCCAGGCAAAAUGUUUCUUUUUGAGGCAGAGAAUUCUUCUAAAUGAUUGUUGGAACUUAGAAUUACUCAAGAUUAUUAUAACCGAGUGGCCAGAGGGAUAU